rnacentral:rRNA from 1 species
UACGGGGGGGGCAAGCGUUGUUCGGAAUUACUGGGCGUAAAGGGCUCGUAGGCGGCCAACUAAGUCAGACGUGAAAUCCCUCGGCUUAACCGGGGAACUGCGUCUGAUACUGGAUGGCUUGAGGUUGGGAGAGGGAUGCGGAAUUCCAGGUGUAGCGGUGAAGUGCGUAGAUAUCUGGAGGAACACCGGUGGCGAAGGCGGCAUCCUGGACCAAUUCUGACGCUGAGGAGCGAAAGCCAGGGGAGCAAACGGG